rnacentral:rRNA from 1 species
UUUAUGGGGUGACUGCGUACCUUUUGUAUAAUGGGUCAGCGACUUAUAUUCUGUAGCAAGGUUAACCGUAUAGGGGAGCCGAAGGGAAACCGAGUCUUAACUGGGCGUUAAGUUGCAGGGUAUAGACCCGAAACCCGGUGAUCUAGCCAUGGGCAGGUUGAAGGUUGGGUAACACUAACUGGAGGACCGAACCGACUAAUGUUGAAAAAUUAGCGGAUGACUUGUGGCUGGGGGUGAAAGGCCAAUCAAACCGGGAGAUAGCUGGUUCUCCCCGAAAGCU